GAUGAACGCUAGCGGCAGGCUUAAUACAUGCAAGUCGAGGGGCAGCAUGACCGUAGCAAUACGGUUGAUGGCGACCGGCAAACGGGUGCGGAACACGUACACAACCUUCCUUCGAGCGGGGAAUAGCCCGGGGAAACCCGGAUUAAUACCCCAUAGUAUAUUGAAGAGGCAUCUCUUUACUAUUAAAGAUUUAUCACUUGAGGAUGGGUGUGCGGCUGAUUAGCUAGNGGCGGGGGUAACCGGCCCACCAAGGCAACGAUCAGUAACUGGUGUGAGAGCACGACCAGUCACACGGGCACUGAGACACGGGCCCGACUCCUACGGGGAGGCAGCAGUAAGGAAUAUUGGGUCAAU
rnacentral:rRNA from 1 species